ACCAGACUCCUACGGGAGGCAGCAGUGGGGGAUAUUGCACAAUGGGGGGAACCCUGAUGCAGCGACGCCGCGUGGGUGAAGAAGCGCCUCGGCGCGUAAAGCCCUGUCAGCAGGGAAGAAAAUGACGGUACCUGAAGAAGAAGCCCCGGCUAACUACGUGCCAGCAGCCGCGGUAAUACGUAGGGGGCAAGCGUUAUCCGGAUUUACUGGGUGUAAAGGGGGCGCAGACGGCGAUGCAAGCCAGGAGUGAAAGCCCGGGGGCCAACCCCGGGACUGCUCUUGGAACUGCGUGGCUGGAGUGCAGGAGGGGCAGGCGGAAUUCCUAGUGGAGCGGUGAAAUGCGUAGAUAUUAGGAGGAACCCCAGUGGCGGAGGCGGCCUGCUGGACGAUGACUGACGUUGAGGCUCGAAAGCGUGGGGAGCAAACAGGAUUAGAUACCCCAGUAC
rnacentral:rRNA from 1 species